GAACGCUAGCGGCAGGCUUAACACAUGACAAGUCGAGGGCAGCGAGAAGUGCUUGCUACUUUUGUCGGCGACCGGCGCGACGGGUGAGUAACACGUAUGCAACCUGCCUUGUCAGGGGGAUAAGCGAGGGAAACCUCGUCUAAUACCGCAUAUAUGAUUUGAGGCAUCUCAUAAUCAGGAAAGAAUUAUCGGACAAGGAUGGGCAUGCGGGACAUUAGGUAGUUGGGGGUGUAACGGACCACCAAGCCGACGAUGUCUAGGGGUUCUGAGAGGAAGGUCCCCCACACUGGUACUGAGACACGGACCAGACUCCUACGGGAGGCAGCAGUGAGGAAUAUUGGUCAAUGGGCGAGAGCCUGAACCAGCCAUGUCGCGUGCAGGAUUACGGCCCUAUGGGUUUUAAACUGCUUUUGUCUAGGGGUAAAAUCGCCACGAGUGGUAAAUUGAAAGUACUAGACGAAUAAGCAUCGGCUAACUCCGUG
rnacentral:rRNA from 1 species